GACGAACGCUGGCGGCGUGCUUAACACAUGCAAGUCGAACGGAAAGGCCCCUUUGGGGGUACUCGAGUGGCGAACGGGUGAGUAACACGUGAGUAACCUGCCCUUGACUUCGGGAGAACUUCAGGAAACUGGGGCUAAUACCGGAUAGGAAUCCUUGCUGCAUGGUGGGGGUUGGAAAGCUUCGGCGGUUUUGGAUGGACUCGCGGCUUAUCAGCUUGUUGGUGGGGUAGUGGCUUACCAAGGCUUUGACGGGUAGCCGGCCUGAGAGGGCGACCGGCCACAUUGGGACUGAGAUACGGCCCAGACUCCUACGGGAGGCAGCAGUGGGGAAUAUUGCACAAUGGGCGGGAGCCUGAUGCAGCAACGCCGCGUGCGGGAUGACGGCCUUCGGGUUGUAAACCGCUUUCAGCAGGGGCGAAGCUUGUGGUGACGGUACCUGCAGAAGAAGCACCGGCUAACUACGUG
rnacentral:rRNA from 1 species